rnacentral:rRNA from 1 species
UACGGAGGGUGCAAGCGUUAUCCGGAUUCACUGGGUUUAAAGGGUGUGUAGGCGGGUAUUUAAGUCAGUGGUGAAAUCUCCAGGCUCAACCUGGAAACUGCCAUUGAUACUAUUUAUCUUGAAUAUUGUUGAGGUAGGCGGAAUAUAUCAUGUAGCGGUGAAAUGCUUAGAUAUGAUAUAGAACACCGAUUGCGAAGGCAGCUUACUAAACAAUCAUUGACGCUGAGGCACGAAAGCGUGGGGAGCAAACAGG